rnacentral:rRNA from 1 species
GAUGAACGCUGGCGGCGUGCCUAACACAUGCAAGUCGAACGGAGUAUUAUGAAGUUUUCGGACGGAAUAAUACUUAGUGGCGGACGGGUGAGUAACGCGUGGGUAACCUGCCUCACACAGGGGGAUAACAGUUGGAAACGGCUGCUAAAACCGCAUAAGCAUACAUUGUCGCAUGACAGAGUAUGAAAAUAUUUAUAGGUGUGAGAUGGGCCCGCGUCUGAUUAGCUAGUUGGUGAGGUAAUGGCUCACCAAGGCGACGAUCAGUAGCCGGCUUGAGAGAGUGACCGGCCACAUUGGGACUGAGACACGGCCCAAACUCCUACGGGAGGCAGCAGUGGGGAAUAUUGCACAAUGGGGGAAACCCUGAUGCAGCGACGCCGCGUGAGUGAAGAAGUAUUUCGGUAUGCAAAGCUCUAUCAGCAGGGAAGAAAAUGACGGUACCUGACUAAGAAGCCCCGGCUAACUACGUGCCAGCCGCCGCAGUAAAAC